ACUCAAGCUCUGAAUAGAAGGUUUUGAUGAUUCUCUGAUUGUGAACGAUCAUCUCCUUAUCUUCUGAUCUUCUCGAGUGCGACUCUUCAGUCCUCUCUUGCUGAAGCAUCAUCAUGGAG